rnacentral:rRNA from 1 species
UGCCUACGGGGCGCAGCAGUGGGGAAUAUUGCACAAUGGGGGAAACCCUGAUGCAGCGACGCCGCGUGAGUGAAGAAGUAAUUCGUUACGUAAAGCUCUAUCAGCAGGGAAGAAAAUGACGGUACCUGAGUAAGAAGCCCCGGCUAACUACGUGCCAGCAGCCGCGGUAAUACGUAGGGGGCAAGCGUUAUCCGGAUUUACUGGGUGUAAAGGGAGCGUAGACGGUACGCCAAGUCUGAAGUGAAAUGCCGCAGCUUAACUGCGGAACUGCUUUUGAAACUGUGCGGCUAGAGUGUCGGAGGGGG